UACGGGGGGAGCAAGCGUUGUUCGGAUUUACUGGGCGUAAAGGGCGCGUAGGCGGCCACCGCAAGUCGACUGUGAAAUCUCCGGGCUUAACCCGGAAAGGUCAGCCGAUACUGCGGGGCUAGAGUGCAGAAGGGGCAACUGGAAUUCUCGGUGUAGCGGUGAAAUGCGUAGAUAUCGAGAGGAACACCUGCGGCGAAGGCGGGUUGCUGGGCUGACACUGACGCCGAGGCGCGAAAGCUAGGGGAGCGAACGGG
rnacentral:rRNA from 1 species